rnacentral:lncRNA from 1 species
UGGAUUGGCGUCACUUGCAGCUUCCGCCACCACAGAGUAGCUGCCUUGAAUCUCUCCAACAUGGCUCUCUCCGCCACCAUUCCUCCACAGCUCGGACACCUCUCCUUCCUCAUCUCCCUCGACCUCUCCAACAACCUUUUCUAUGGAGAUUUCCCACACGAAUUGUCUCUCCUUCGCCGUUUGAAGUUCAUAUCUUUCCGACUCAACCACUUCGCCGGAGACAUCCCUCCGAUGUUGGGUCAGUUACCAAAAUUAGAGUACUUGUCUUUACGGAACAACAGCUUCAUAGGUUCCAUCCCAAAAUCGCUCUCAAACCUCACAAACCUACAAUUUCUUGACUUAUCAUUCAAUUCUCUAAGUAGAGAAAUUCCAAAAGAGUUGGGAAGACUUCAAAGUCUACAAACUCUGAAUGUUCAAUUCAAUCAUUUGUCGGGUGCUAUACCAUCAGCCAUAUUCAACAUCUCGACCCUUGUAGCUAUAGCAUUGUCAUACAAUGAAUUGAGUGGAAGUCUUCCAACAGACAUGUGCCGUAAUCUUCCAUUUCUUGUUGGGAUUUAUCUUUCUUACAAUCAGCUGAGUGGCGCGAUUCCCACAAAUCUAUCCCAAUGUUCACGGCUUGAGGGGUUAAAUCUUGGUGGUAACAAUUUGAAUGGUAUGGUUGAAGUUCUUAUCACAUAAAUUUGUGUAAAUGAGAUUUGAUUAGUUUCAUGACACUUUUUUUUGCCAGGAAUACUACCACAUGAGAUUGGCCAUCUUCAGAGUCUGGUUACUUUUGCUGCUGAACGGAAUGAGAUUGCAGGCUCAAUUGAUUUCAGUAUUUUCAUGAAUAUGUCUUCUCUGCAAACCUUAAUACUAUGGCGUAACAAAUUCACGGGGAACCUUUCAAGGGAUGUCGGGAAUAUUACCAUGCUAACAGAGUUACAGCUCGAUGAAAACCAUUUCACAGGUACAACAGAGUAAUUUUCAUGUAAAUUGUCUGUUUAGCUACAAUAUGUGUUUUUAGUUACAGUUUUGAAAUCUCAUCUUUUGCAGGNGCACUAGCACGUAACAAAUUCACGGGGAACAUUCCCUCAAAUCUAUCCCAAUGUUCACAGCUUGAAGUGUUGAGCCUCUCUGGAAACUCUUUUAGUGGGGAGAUACCUUCAGAAAUCGGCUACUUAACAUCUCUUCGGGAGUUAUAUCUUGGUGCUAACAAUUUGAAUGGUAUAUAUGGUUCAAGUUCUUAUCACAUAAAUUUGUGUAAAUGAGAUUUUAUUAGUUUCAUGACACUUUUUUUGCCAGGAAUACUACCACAUGAGAUUGGCCAUCUUCAGAGUCUGGUUGAGUUUGCUGUUGAAUGGAAUGAGAUUGCGGGCUCAAUUGAUUUCAAUAUUUUCAUGAAUAUGUCUUCUCUGCAAACCUUAGCACUAGGGCGCAACAAAUUCACGGGGAACCUUUCAAGGGAUGUCGGGAAUAUUACCAUGCUAACAGAGUUAGAGCUCUAUGAAAACCAUUUUACAGGUACAACGGAGUAAUUUUCAUGUAAAUUGUCUGUUUAGCUACAAUAUGUGUUUUUGAAAUCUCAUGUUUUGCAGGGCUUAUUCCCUCUGAAUUUGGCCAACUUUACCAUUUGGAGAUAUUAUCAUUAUCAUCGAACAUCGUUAGUGGUUCGAUUCCACAUGAGCUCUUUAACAUUUCAACACUUCGAAUUCUUUCACUUGUCGACAAUCCUCUGUCAGGGGUUCUUCCAACCCAUUUAUGCCACGCCUCUCCCUUUCUUGAACGACUUUAUCUUGGCCGAAAUUCCAUGAGUGGAGAAAUACCCAACUCCAUCUCUAACUGUUCUCAACUCACAAUUCUCGCACUUGGUGAAAACAAAUUCAGUGGUUAUAUACCUACUCAUCUCGGCAACCUAAGACUUCUCCAAAUUCUUGAACUGUCCAGCAACAAUCUUACCCAGGCACCAUCUUCUUCCUUCAUUACUUCAUUGACAAAUUGCAGGUCUCUAACUCUUUUGUCAAUUGCUGAUAAUCCUCUAAAUGGUGUCAUUCCAGCUUCUCUCGGGAACUUAUCUUCCUCACUCGAAAUAUUCGCUGCCGAGAACUGCAAAUUCAGUGGCAGCAUUCCUGCUGAAAUAGGCAAUCUAAGCAAUUUGAUGACAUUGGAGUUGUCAGCAAAUGAGUUAUCUGGUAAUAUUCCACUAACUAUAAGCCAUUUGCAUGAACUUCAAGGAUUAAAUCUGUCUCGUAACAUGUUGGGAGGCUCAAUACCACAUGCUAUAUGUGAUCUAUUCAGCCUCGAUACUUUAGAUAUGAGCCAUAAUCAAUUUUCAGGCCCAAUUCCUAAAUGUCUGGGAAAUGUCUCUUCUUUAAGAAAUCUUCAUCUAGACUCCAACAUGUUGAAUUCAAGCAUACCUUCAAGCUUAUGGGGCCUAAAAGAUUUGAACUCUCUAGACUUGUCCUCAAAUUCAUUAAAUGGGUUCUUACCACAAGAGAUAAGUAACUUAGGAGCAGCAAUACAUAUAAACCUAUCGAUGAAUCAGUUGUCAAAGUCUAUUCCUAGCACUAUUGGGAAGUUGCAGAAUUUGAUUAAUCUGUCUUUGGCAAAUAAUAGACUAGAAGGUUCUAUUCCUGUGUCUAUGGGAAGCAUGAUCAGUUUGGCAAAUCUCGACUUGUCGUACAACAACCUCUCUGGUUCAAUUCCAAAGUCUUUAGAAGCACUUCAACACCUCGACUACUUUAAUGUCUCUUUCAAUAGUUUAAGUGGAGAAAUUCCUAAUGGAGGUUCUUUUAGAAACUUCACUACGGAUUGUUUUAAGGGUAAUGAGGCAUUGUGUGGAAUCCCCAAGUUCCAUGUCCAAAUUUGCUCUUCAAUUUCUAAUCACAGAUCAAAGAGAAAGAAGGUGGAACGAGCUUCAUUUAUUGUUUUCGGGGUUGUGGCUUUCAUCUCAGUUGUUUCUUUGGCCUUUAUAAUUGUCAAAAACAAAAGGAAAGAUAAGACGACUAGCAGAGAAGUUGAUGAGUUGAUAUUCAUUGUGCCGGAAAGAAUCUCUUAUUAUGAACUGCUGCAAGCAACGGAAAGAUUCGAUGAAAGCAAUUUACUUGGCACUGGGAGUUCUUGCUCUGUUUAUAAAGGAAUUCUUAACAAUGGGAAGGAUAUCGUUGUCAAGGUGUUUAAUAUGCAGCUAGAAGGUAUUUCAAGAAUAUUUGAUGUCGAAUGUGAGAUACUACGUAGCAUUCGACACAGGAAUCUGACAAGCGUCAUAAGCAGUUGCUCCAAUGAAGAGUUCAAGGCAUUAGUACUUGAAUAUAUGCCAAAGGGAAACCUUGAAAAAUGGUUAUAUUCCCACAACUAUUGCUUGAAUAUGAUGGAAAGAUUGAAUAUAAUGAUUGAUGUUGCAUCUGCUUUGGAGUAUCUUCACCACGGUUAUUCAAUGCCCAUUGUCCACAGCGACUUGAAGCCUAGUAAUGUGCUGUUAGAUGAAGACAUGGUUGCCCAUGUAAGCGACUUUGGGAUAGCAAAGUUGUUAUGCGAUGGAGAUAGCUUUGUGUUAACCAACACGCUAGCAACAUUGGGUUACAUCGCUCCAGGUGAAGUUUCUCUAAAUAUAUUGAUUGCACUUCACUUUCAAUCAAUUAAUUGUGUCUUCCUAACUCAUACAUCAUGAUUUUGUUGUUCCAGAGUAUGGCUUGGAAGGGCAAGUUUCAACAAGGUGUGAUGUGUAUAGCUACGGGGUGAUGUUGAUUGAAACUUUUACGAGAAAAAGGCCUAGUGAUGAUAUGUUUUGCGGAGAUAUGAGCUUAAAGAGAUGGGUAGAACUCUCACUUUCGGAGAACCCAGAUGAAGUGAUAGAUGCCAACUUAGUCAUGAAUUUGGAGGAAGAAAUGAUUGACAAGAAUAUGCAGUGUGUGUCAUCCAUACUUGAAUUGGCUCUGAAAUGCUCCGCCGACUCUCCCGGGGAUAGAAUCAACAUGAAACAAGCACAUGCAGAGUUGCAGAAAAUCAAACAUCGAUUUUCCCAAUGAGAUUCAAGUAAGCUAUUUUAAAGUUCUAUGUUAUUUCUAAAAGCAUAUUCAUAUCCCAAAUUUCUAUGGCAAAGUUAGCUAAUGAAGUCUUCUUCAUUUGGUGGCUUUGAUGAGGCAUGUAGUGUCGAAGAUUUUGAAGAGGCUGUAGAUGCUAAUUGGGGUGAGGCAGUGGAUAGUUGUGAGGUGGAUGACAUAAAGAAUGGAAAAUGUUGUUCUUUAUUAUUACUAUUGUACUUGUCUUUUAAUAAAAAAAUUCCUAAAAUGUAUGGAAUGCCUAAAUAAAAAAUUCGGCCCCCGUCAAAGUUCAGCCCCCCGAACUAAAUUCCUGACUCCGUCACUGGAUAUUCCUCUUUGUGGGGAAUAGUUAGUGAUGCUUAGUUGUUUAUAUUCUGGCCAACAGAACAAUAUUUGCAUUGACCAAAAGCUCACACUUUAAUUUAGAAGGUAUGCUAUAUCUGGAAUAAUUGUCUCUCUGUUUCUUCCUUUGCUUUAUCCAGUAGUAUUCUAUCUUUUCAAGAGCUUUAUUCCGGAGAUGCCGCGCAGGUCAUAUAAUAUGCUCACUUUGUCACACUGAACAUGAGGUUGGUUUUACUCAUUUUACUCUAUACUCAUUCAUCUUCAUGAAUAAGAAUUUGGAAACCUCCACACUACCUGCAUUGAAGCAUGGCUGCUAGAAGUCUAGAACUGUUCUGUCUCAGUUAAGCUGAAUAUAGUUACUAAUGUCAAACAUGUAUAUAGAAGUUGAAAACAUAAUACGAGAAAAUGGGGAAGGGAAGUUCAAAUAUGUCUUGGCCUGCUGGACUUGCAAAUGAGUUAGGCAAGAUUGGUCUUAUUUAUGGGUUGGGGAAGAGGUUGCCUGUUCUCAGAUUAAUAAUGUUUUAGCUGUAGUAUGAUGUGUUUUGGGGAUUUUCCUUCUUUUUCUCUAUCAAUCUCUUAUUUUGUUGGUUUGGGUGUGUUACUCAACAAGUUUGCAUAAAUUGUGGGGUGUGCAUGGGAAGAUACUAUAUAUUGUGGAACUCGCAAGCUGUAUGAUGCAUGAUGGUUGUGAGUAGGAAGUAUCUUCCUGUAUGCAUGCUGAUCUUUUGUUGAGUAAGAAGAAAAAGAUGGAUAGUAGUUGAUAACAGUGGGUAUUGUUGUUAGUAGAGUUCGCGUCCCAUUAUAAAUGUGUGGAGGAAAAUAAAGUGUUAUAUGGACCCUACUACUUUAAAUGGAGCUGGAAAUGAUAUUGUGAACAACCCAAAAUAGCAAAAGUGGAAACGAUAUCGUGGACGGAGGGAGUAUGUGGUUUGUUUUGCGUUCCUUAAACUAACUUCUACAGUAAUCUGCACAAAUCCAAUCUUAAUAUUAUCUUCUUGUUUUUAUGGCCUUAAUUAGUUUGCUUAGAUCAUCUUGUUGCUGAAGCGCACAAUGUUUCUAUAUAUUUCAUCACUGUUCUUGCCUAGCUGACUAAACGUGGUUUUUUAGUAUCAAUUUGGAGUUUUCGAUUGUUCGCGAGUUUUUCUUGUUUUUGUUUUGCAAGCUCACUAUAUUAUUGAAUGAUUUUUUUUUUGGGGGGGGGAGCAAUUAUGAUUCCUAUGGUAGGCUGAGACGAAAGGUCUUAAGAUAGCCGAGACGGAGGGAGUACUAUAAUUGAUAUGACAAUAGACAAAUAUUGACAAAAUCAUGAAUUUGGAUCCUUAAAUGGAGAUCGUUAAUGGCUCUCAUUUUAUUCCAUACUCAAUAUCGUGGCCGAAUAAUAUAAAUCGACAUAAAUUUAUACUAUAUUUAUUUGCAUAGGACCAUUUCCACUAAAUUUUUUUUAACAAAGAGGCCAAACCAAGGCCUCUCAAAGGGUUUAUGGUUUAUAAAUAAGUUGAAUUUGUGCACUGAAAUAAGUGAUCAAUUUGUUAGUUUCACAAAUUUAAGAAAAGUUAUAACUCUAUCUAGGAGUAUAAAUUUUAAGCCCAUCGAACACGUGCAUGCUAAACAAUCUUAUAAAUUGAAAAUUAAAUCAAACUUGAAUUCUUUUAAUGUAUCGAAUACUCAUGAAAUUUAAUAUGACCCUACUUAAUUACACACGUAAUUCCAUUGCAUCCCUAAUUACUACCUUUCAAGACAAACCUCAAGAAACACUUAUUAAGAACCUAAAGUUACUGUCUGAAACAUGAAGCUCCACUAUCAUUCAUGCCAUUUAGUCACCUAAGAAAAGUAUUAAGACUCACGGGGUGGUUUCAAUUCAGAUUCUAUAUAAAAAAAAUUGUAUUUCAAAUGUCUAUAGACUAUAGGUAUUCAAAUCAGAUUUUAAAAAGUCCUUAAAAGUCUGUUGGUAUACAAUUAUUUGUAGAUCUAAUCAAGUUAAAUGAUACUAAAAUUAAGUUGUAAGAGCCAGAAAAUUAGUACGGUUGAAUUGGAUAAGUAGUCAUAGGUUAACGGUUUGUUAAUGUUAUCUAUGUACCUCUGCAAUAUAUAUAUAUAUAGUGAUAUUAUGUAUGAGUGCGCUCACACUUACGGGGAAAAAAAUCCUUAUAUGAUGCGCUCAUACAUAACAAAAAAAAUAUCAUUAUUUAUAUAUAUCUAUUAUACAUAACUUUUUUUGCCGUUAUAAAAGAAUUCACAACUAUGAGCUCUUAAAUUAUUAAGUGUCAGAAACAAAAAUAUUUUAUAUUUUUCAAAAAGUUAUUUUAUACUAGUAUUAUCUAAAUAGUUUAUUAAAACUCGAUAUGUUAUAUCUUGUCAAUGACAUUUAACAUAAACAUAAAUUAAAAAUAGAAAAAAAAAAUUAUAAUUCUCCAUUCAAAAUACAAUAUGUAAAGAAAAGUUAAAUUGGCAACCCAAAUUAUCAACAAAUAAAAUCCAGCCCAUAUACAACAUGUUGAAAAUUCAACCCAAAAAACAGCCCCAAGUCCAACCCAUAUUAUAUAGUAGUAUAUUCCAUUUGUCGCAUUAAGACAACAAAUAAAUAAGAUACAUAAUUUCAUUAAUCAACACAUACUAUUUCAUUAAUCAACACAUACUGCAAUUCCAUUAAAAUAAAUACAACAGUUGGCAAAACCAAUGAACGUUAGAACACAUAUCAUGUUUAAUUGGUAUAUGAACUCAUCAUGCCCUUUUAAACUCCCCUCCAUCAGCUAUCAUAUUCUUUGUAAACUUAUUGCUUUCUUUUUUCAACAACAUGCUUUGUUUGCAAAUUUUGUGUAAACUGAUUUUAUAUAUAUACACCAAAGAAACAACCCCAUUCAUAUGCGAUAUUAUAAACUCAAAUGAGCAAAAGUUGAAUAUAUUUUACAACCAAUAUAAGCAGUACAUAUGUUUUCUUUUCAUUUAGCUGAGCUGGCCCAAUGUUCUUUUUUUUAUUUAAUUGGGCUGCGGUUUGUAAUAUUUAGCAUGGGCCGAUGAAUUUCAGAUUUUGGGCUGUGCAUAUUUGUGUUUAAACGGACCACCUUGAUUAUUUAAUUAGACUAUCAUUAAUUUAAUUAAUUCUUUUUAAAGUAUAAUUUGUAUAAUAAUAUUAUAUUAUUAUGUGCAUAUUUUAAGUAAUUAUUUAUUAUAUGUUUGAAGCAUGACAUAAAAUUGAAUUUGCACAGGUAGAAGUGUACGUAGAAGUAUGAUGUGGCUGCUUCUUAUCUCCAUUGUAUAGUUUUGAAGUGUGGAUAUACCUUUUUACUGAUUCCUGCUCACUUUAAAUUAUCCUUUUGCAAGUGGGACUUUUCUCAAUCCAAAGUUUGAUUCUAUAUAUCUGUUUCUAUAUAAUCAAUCGAGAUAUAAGGAUUUAGUUUGCAUUUCUAUAUCGAUCAAGUCUUGGUCUGCGUCUCCCUCUUUGUCUCAACUCUUCACCUUCGUCUUCGUCUUCGUCUGCGUCUUUGAUAGGAUAUUGCUCGGCUAUGACUACUUCGAGUGAGUCUAACUCCAAUUCAAAAGGAAUAAUAGAGAAAGCAGAUAAUUUCAUUCAUUCAAAAAAAUGCCCUUGUACAUACUCUCAUCUGCUAUUUAUUUGAUACGAGCCACAACGGCCUGCUCUGCAACAUGCAGGACUCCUAACAAACUAAGAUAUCCUAACAGCAGGUGGGGACCUUCAUCAAGGACUAUCAGGUGCUCCGCCCCAUGGCAAAGUCACGGAAACGGGCCGGCAUCUUUCGAUUGCGCGUGGGCCUACCCUCAGUGCGGAGGUCUUCCUCAUUCUGGACUUCUUCUUCAAGUUGGGCUACCACUUCAUUGGGCUUAGUCUGCCCCGAUCCAGUAGUUGUAUCAGUCUUUGUCUCAACUCUUCACCUUCGUCUUCGUCUUCGUCUCCGUCUCUGUCUUUGUCUCAACCUCAAGUCUUCGUCUUCGUUUUGUCUUCGUCUCAAACGGAAAAAACAAAAAAACAAAAAAGACGUCAAAAGGCACCACCCGUGAAGACUCUCAAGUCUUAUAAUAUUUGUGUAUAUAUGAUGAUUAUUGGAUGCAUUUAUUAGCGACUUAAUUAUCAUAAUACAUUCACAAUUUGCAGCCAUGGACAAAAAGUGGACUAUCUUUUUAGUAAAAACAAUAUUUUUAUAUAGUAUUAAUUAGAAAAGUGGACUAUCUUUUUGGAACAUCUCAAAAUGGAAUAAGGGACUAAAAUGGUGGGACGGAGUGAGUAUAAUUUGUGGAUCCCUUUCUUCACUCACUAACUCGUGGAUUCUUUCUUCAUUCACUAACCUAAUUAACCUUUUCCACUUUUCUUAAUUAUUUUUGGGCUUCUUUAUCCACUCACGACCUAAUGGUAAAAAUAGGACCGUAACUUUCAGAAUUUUUAGAAAAAGGACUAUAAGUUACGGAUUUUGAAAAUAAGGACUAUAAUUUUGUAUUCUCGUUUUAACAAUUAACAGUUAUAUUUUUUUUAGGAAAAUUAACAAUUAUAUUUGUUUUAUCUUAAUUAAUUUAAUAUCCUAAAAGAAAGCUACAUAUAUACGUUCAUUAUAAUGUUAAAAGACAUAUAUUAUUUCUUUUUUACAUUUAAUUAGAAGAAUAAAUUAUAAAAAANUAUGCCAUCAAUUUUGAAUAGAGAGAAGAGAUUUUGCAGUAUGGCAGAUUUGCAAGCAAGGAAGAAUUGAGUAAGCAGGAAUAUCUAAAGAUAUUUAAAGACAUUUUUUUUGUGAAGAAAACCUGAUGGCAUAUUUUUUUAUAAUUUAUUCUUCUAAUUAAAUGUAAAAAAGAAAUAAUACAUGUCUUUUAACAUUAUAAUGAACGUAUAUAUGUAGCUUUCUUUUAGGAUAUUAAAUUAAUUAAGAUAAAACAAAUAUAAUUGUUAAUUUUCCUAAAAAAAAUAUAACUGUUAAUUGUUAAAACGAGAAUACAAAAAAGAAACAAAAAAAUUUUUUGCAAAAAAGUUGACAAUAUGGCAGUCCACGUCAGCAACGGGCUCUACGUUGCAUCAAAAUCCCGAACAAUUAAUUUUGGGCCCGAAACAGGAGUGUAAAUGUUAAAAAAAAAUUAUAGUCCUUAUUUUCAAAAUCCGUAACUUAUAGUCCUUUUUCUAAAAAUCCUGAAAGUUACGGUCCUAUUUUUACCAUUAGGUCAUCCACUCACUAAAUAUACAACACAAAUUUUCUUAAAAUGCGUGUCAUCCUCAGGCGUGGACAAAGAGAGUAUUUGUUAUCAUACACAAUUAAAACAUACUUCCUCAGUUCUACUUUACUUGGCAUGGUUUUUUUUUUUGGAUCGUCCCAUCUAACUUGGCUUGUUUCAUUUUUUAGUAAUAAAAUUUUACUAUAUAAUAAAUAUGAAUCUACAUAUUUUACACUAUAUUAUUGUUAUUAUUAUUAUUAUUAUUAUUAUUAUUAUUAUUAUUAUUAUUAUUAAAAAAAUAAACUUUUUUUAGGCAUUCCCAUAUGCAUGGGAAUAGGCUAAUCCCAUAUGCAUGGGGGAGGGGAGGAAUGGCUAAUCCCAUAUGCAUGGGAAUAUGCAUUUCAUUGGGAAUGACGAUUCUAAUUAUAAAAACGGUACCAGCCAUAGGAUUGAGAAUUGACACAGGAAUCAUCAUUCCAUUCUUGCAUACCAGUCAUGCCCUUAUAUGUGAUUAGCAGGUACGGAGCUAAGCUAUCUUUACAAGUUUUUGAUUUUAAAUCCAAACUAUUAAUUUGCCGAUAAAAUAAUUUGAAUUUGAGGGUUACAAUCAAUUCCCUAUCAUCAAACUUUCGACCUCACAAAUUGAGGGGGAAAAACAAACAUUUUAAACUUUUAAUAACCUGUUCAUUUUAAAUUCAUUUUUAUGACUUUUAUAACAUAUUAAAGAUCUUCUGAAAACAACUUAAGAUGCGGAGUUUAAAUUUAUUUAAGGCCAUUAUCUUAGGGUUAUUUGCAAAAAUAGGCCACUAUUUUUCGGACUUGCAAAAAUAGGCCAAUUAUUUUAAUUUUGGUAUUUUUAGGCCACAUGUGUACCCAAUCAGGCUAUUUUGGGCCACAUUUUGACCCCAAAAAGUGGCCUAUAAAUGCUGAAUUGGGCUCAAAUGUGGCCUAAAAAUGCAAAAAACUAAAAUAAUUGACCUAUUUUUGCAAGUCCGAAAAAUAGUGGCCUAUUUUUGCAAAUAGACCUAAGAUAAUGACCUUAAAUAAUUUUAAACUCUAAGAUGUGCAUUGAAUAUUUUUCUCAUAAAUUAAAUUUGAUUAUGUUUAGAAAAUAAUUAAAAUUAUAAAGCUGUUUGGAUAUAAUUAAAUGGGGAGUGAUUUUUGGACACCGGGUGUCUUAGACACCUUCAUAAAAAAUCAGUUUUUGCUUGAUGUUUAAUAUUUAGUGAUUUGUCUAAAAUAUCAUUUCCAAAAAUAUAUUCAACCGAUUUUGCUAUUAUUUUUAAUUUUUAUAUUUUUUUAUAUAAAAAAUUAGUGAAUAUGGAAAAAAAUAUUAAAAAAUAUAAAAAUAAAAAAUAAUAAGAAAAUCGAUUGAAUAUAUUUUUGAAAAUAAUAUUUUAGACAAAUCACUAAAUAGAAAAAAACAAUCAAAUUAAACAUCAAGAAAAAACUGAUUUUUUAUGAUGAUGUCUAACCAAAAAUCUUUUCCCAUAAUUAAAUAUAUGCAAUUAAUUUAUUCAGUAAAGACGCUUUUGGACUGCUUUAAAUAUAAACUAAAGCAAAGAAUUCGAGUUUCCCCUUUUCUCUUUAGACCAUAUUACAGCUUUUUUAAAAGCUUUGGUUUAAUCGAUUAAUUUGCAAAAGAUGCACUUUAUUUUUUUGUCUUGUAUCAACUUUUAUUUUUCGGGAUAAUAUAUAAUGGACUAUAUAUGGUGUACCUUAUAUAUUUUUUUACUAGAGAAAGUAAAAAUUAGAAAACUUGAAUUCAUGAUAGGUGGAGUGGAAAUGAAAGAAAAGACUCGGAAAGAUUAGUUAGGAUGAUCCAUUUUCCAAAAGGUGAAAAAGGAGUGGAAAAAACAGAAAAACAUAGAUAGGUCCCACCACUACAAGUUUUCUAAGUCAAAAGGUUUAGAAAAAUAUUGAAAUUUAUGUUGUAUGAAUCGGAAUCAUGAUCAUUGCAUUAUAAAUUUAUAGAUAUAGGGUGUGUUUGCUUUUUAUCCUUCUAAAUGGAGGGAUAACAAAAAUUUGUGCCUUCACAUUUUACACAAAAGAGAAAUUCACUAUUUUUUUUUCCUUAUUUUUUUGGUGUGAUAAUAUUAUCCCUCCUUGAGGUGAAAAUAAGGAAGAAAAAAUGGUGAACUUCUCUUUUGUGUAAAAUGUGGGAUAAGAAAUUAGACAUUUAAAUGCAUAAAUUUUUAUUAUCCCUCAUUUUCCCAUCCAUCAAAGUGAACGCACCCAUAAAGAUUAAUAUAGCGUGCAAUAUUAUCAUAAUUGACAUAUUAUUAUAUUAAUAUAUAACACUCAAACGGAAAAACAAAAAACAAAAAAGCUAGACAUCAAAUUAAAGCCACAACCAUGAAGACUCUCAAGUCAAGCAAGUCUUGUAAUAUUUGUGUGUAUAUAUAUGAUGAUUAUUGGAUGCACAUAUUAGCGACUUAAUUAUCAUAAUACAAUCAUAAUUUGCAGCCAUGGACAAAAAGCUUUCUUGCAUUUUGCCUUGUGCAUUCCUAAUCACCAUAACCUUCCCAAUGCUUUCUUCUGAAGCCAAACAACCUUUGAGCCUUGCAACUGAUCAAACUGCCCUUCUUUCACUCAAACAUACAUCUCUUUUACUUGCAAUUAAUUGGACCAACUCCACCUCCGUCUGCAGCUGGAUUGGCGUCACUUGCAGCUUCCGCCACCACAGAGUAGUUGCCUUGAAUCUCUCCAACAUGGCUCUCUCCGCCACCAUUCCACCGCAGCUCGGACACCUCUCCUUCCUCGUCUCCCUCGACCUCACCAACAACCUUUUCCAUGGAGAUUUGCCUCAAGAGCUGUCUCUCCUUCGCCGUUUGAAGUUCAUAUCUUUCCGACUCAACAACUUCACCG